GGUUGCCAAUUGUAAUAGCCU
rnacentral:siRNA from 1 species